GUUUUAUUUUCACUUAGGAUAAAGGCAAAUUUCUGGACAGACCUUUGGAGAAUAUUGGGAAAACAGAAUCUUCCACCUGGCAACCCCAGGAGUCUCAGCAAGGCUGUGGUGUUAGGAGGACUGAAGAGAGGGAGUGCAGCAUGUGACUGGGGAGGCCCUUGGCCUUUGCACUUUGGUUUCACAGAGGUAUAGUCAGCACAGCACAGACAAGGCUGCUGACACUGCACCGUAGCUGGAGCUCUGGGAGCUGAUGAAGCUGGAGCUGCUUCCCAUGCAGGAUCAGUCACACAAGAAGAACUGGAGUUGAACAUGGGCUGUGCACUGGAGUGGCACUGUGGAGGGCCCUUUAAAGACAUUGGCAUUACCGGUGGUGUUUUGGAGUGGAAACUGGGCCAAAAUCAGACACUGCCAGACAGUAUUGACAAGAAGAUGAAAAGGGCUACAAAGAUAUAGUAAAGAGAAAAUUUGGGUUAGUGAAUCUAUUAAAUAAGGGACAAGGAGGCAGAAGAAUGUCAGGAAUGACCCAGCACGUGCCUGGUUGUGCAAGAGCCACCUCCUGCUCUUCUCAGAG
rnacentral:lncRNA from 1 species